GCGUCAUUACAACCCUCAAGCUCAGCUUGGUUAUGGGCGUUCGUUCUCCGGAUCGUGCCCGAAAAUUAGUGGCAGUGUGGCCCGACUUCAAGCGUAGUAAACACAACCCGCUUUGGAAGCUCGGGUGCAUGCUCGCCGGACUGCGGUCCAUAACAUCCACCGUUGACCUCGGAUCAGGUAGGGAUACCCGCUGAACUUAA
rnacentral:misc_RNA from 1 species